rnacentral:rRNA from 1 species
CGGUAUCCUGACCGUGCUAAGGUAGCAUAAUCAUUUGCCUCUUAAUUGGUGGCUGGCAUGAAUGGACAAACGAGAGCCAAGCUGUCUCCUGCUUACACAUAAAAACUAACCUUCAGGCGAAAAGGCCUGAAUAACUUUAUAGGACAAGAAGACCCUGUCAAGCUUUACCAGAAAAGAUUUUCUAAUAAUAUUUCAAUAAACAAACCAAUCCCGCCUGGUUUAGUUGGGGCGACUGGGGACCAAAACUAGCGUCCCCCCUUUCACUAGGAUAAUAAUCCUCCAAAGCUGAUCCUUAAAAAGACCAAGAGAUAAGCUACUGCAGGGAUAACAGGCUAAUUUUCCUUAAGAGCCCAAAUCGAAAGGAAAGUUUGGCACCUCGAUGUUGGCUUAGGAA